CGCGCAGGCGGUUUUAUUAGUCAGAUGUGAAAGCCCACGGCUCAACCGUGGAAGUGCAUUUGAAACUGUAAGACUUGAGUACCAGAGGGGAUAGUGGAAUUCCCGGUGUAGAGGUGAAAUUCGUAGAUAUCGGGAGGAAUACCGGUGGCGAAGGCGACUAUCUGGCUGGAUACUGACGCUGAGGCGCGAAAGCGUGGGGAGCAAACA
rnacentral:rRNA from 1 species